AUAUAUAAAAUAAGAGAUUUUCAUAAGCAUUUGCAAGCAAACAGGUGCUUAGCUUUUUCCACACCAACUCCCAGUUCGCUGAUGGAUUCAACUCUGCACAGAGCUCAGGUCAUCAGAGAACAGCCAAACCAUCAUCAGCUUCAAACGAAUGAGAAGAACUUAUCAGUAAAACAAGACAAAAUUGAAAGCAACAGGCUGAAUGGGAAGAGAUGGAAGGAGACACUGUGGCGCUUCUGGGUUUCAGGAGCCUGGUGAGCCCAUACUUUAAUUCUUCCCUGUAAAUGAUUGUGCUAUGCUAAACAUUGACUGUUAUCAUACUUCUCGUGUCCAUCGGUCCAGUGCUCAUGCUGAGGUUUGUGUUCUGCAGCCUGAGAUCGCACCUCUUGAAAUACUUACAGCUUUUGGUGUUAAAGAUAAAUGCAUGUGUUUGGGGCUUGCUUUCUUUGAAGCACAGACUUCCUGAGAUUAAAGUAUUUUAUCUUAUGCUAUAAUGAGGGGAAUUUCCAUCUCAACUGAUACUCAUUGCCAGAGGUAGUAGGGUUGGUUGUUACUGAAAUCUCUGAAAUCAGCAUGUUCAAUAAGAUUAAUAAGAGGCUUUCCCUGAGAGAGUCUCUCUUUUUUGCAAGACGUCUAGAGUUACUCCUUAUUCAAAUCACAGAUCUGAGCAGACUAGUUGUGCCUUUGUAAGAAUGAGAAGGGAUGGCAGGAGAAAGAAUAUUAAUGUAUCUCUGCUUUGGAUUUCUGAAUAGCUGUAGGCUUAAAUUUCUGCAUUAUUUCUGCAUUAAGGUUAAAUAUUUUCACUACAAAGGAAAUUCCAGGAACAUCAUACUACUGAAAAGCAAAAAUAUUUUCUAGAACAAAGUGAGGAAUCAUGAAGAUAGUGAUAUGAACCACCCACUGAGACAAUCAUUUAAAUUUGGAAAUUCUUACUGCUUGUCUUUCACUGCAGGUCUUUUUAAAGCUUUAUUUGCAACUUUGGCAAAUUCCCCAAUAUAUUUCUUUUUCCUCUCUCUAGUAUACCUGAAUUUCUAGUGGUAUAAAAAAUACACAUUUCCUAGCAAUCAAACAUCAAUUCUACAUGAAAAGUUAGUGCAAAUAUUCUUUGCUGCAUAUAUGCAUAUAUUUCAGAAUAUAAUAGAAUUUUAGAAGUGUUUCAAAAAGAGAGAAGAUUGUAUGAGGAAGAACUGGAAAGCAGCAGAAAUUCUCUUUAACCUCUGCAAGGGAGAGGCUGCAGGAGCAUGCCGUACGUGGAGGAAGCCUCUGAGGAUCAGAUGUUUCCAGUAUGGCAUGACUGGAAAAGAAGAAAGUUGAAGGAACUCACAACAUACAGUCAGUCAGCUACAGGAUUUUUUCCCCAGCUCUUCAUGACUAUUAGCAGCUCCAGAAGUACCAGUGACAAGUUGGGUAAGUGUGACAGCAGCAGUGCCCAGAGCCAGUCACUUCUCUUCUGACUGUAGUACCAAUGGAAAGCUUGCAAGUACAUGGACCACAUCCAGCUGUCCUGCAUCAUUCCGCUGAUGCAAAGCAGCAAUAAAGCUGACAAAGUCAGAAGCACUCAAAGCAACACUAAGAGCUGUAUAUUACAAACUCCCAAGUCAGAUACUCUCCUGUCCUCUGAUGGUCACACCAUCAGAAGUCAGUGGCACUUACGAAUACAUGGUAUCAUACUCUUGGGGGAAAGUGUGGCCAUCAAAAAACACACACUUCUGUGUUCUGAAAGGACAGAAAGAAACUUCGUGCUGAGACGCUUGAAACUCUAUCAAGAAAUUUAAGUUUCUCCUUCGGUGAAAACACAAGGGGAGGUAGAAGGGGGCAAUCUCCUGUAUCUUGCUCUGGAGCGACCUCGUCUGGCAGAUGCCGGGAAUGGUGCUGGUAGCUGUGGUGGUGGUGGUGGUGGCGAGCAGCAGCUGGGCUGCUCCUGCAAGUUGCAGCGGGCACCAGGCAGGACGUGAGCUGCUGACUGUGACCCCCCCCAACAUUUUGUUCUUUCCCUGUUCUGAGACGCACUUCCUCUGUUAAUGGGUGCAUGCACACUUCUGUACAGGGCUGGGGAGAGGAGGCUCUGACCACUCGGUGAGCACCUAACUGCUGCUGCAGAAGCAGGUUUAUUUUCUCAUUUACCACUUGGUGAAUUGGAAGGGUGGCGGAGGAAAGAGGAAGGAGGCAUCACAAACAAAUAAAAAUAAAACAGUUCCAUGAA